UACGAGGGGGGCGAGCGUUGUUCGGAAUUAUUGGGCGUAAAGGGCGCGUAGGCGGUGCGGUAAGUCACCUGUGAAAUCUCCUGGCUCAACUGGGAGCUUGCAGGCGAAACUGCCGUGCUGGAGUAUGGUAGGGGAGACUGGAAUUCCUGGUGUAGCGGUGAAAUGCGCAGAUAUCAGGAGGAACACCGAUGGCGAAGGCAGGUCUCUGGGCCACUACUGACGCUGAGAAGCGAAAGCAUGGGGAGCGAACAGG
rnacentral:rRNA from 1 species